AGCUGGAGGUGCUGAAGUCAGAGGCCAACAGGGAUGAGCAGUCUGCCAAACUCCCCAGCACCUCUUCUGGAAGGUUGACCCGGUCUGAGGAGGAGUGUCGUCGUCUGGAGACUGAGAUCUCUUGGCUGGAGG